rnacentral:rRNA from 1 species
UAUUGGACAAUGGGCGAAAGCCUGAUCCAGCAAUACCGCGUGUGUGAAGAAGGCCUUCGGGUUGUAAAGCACUUUCAGCGAGGAGGAAGGGUAGUGUGUUAAUAGCACAUUGCAUUGACGUUACUCGCAGAAGAAGCACCGGCUAACUCCGUGCCAGCAGCCGCGGUAAUACGGAGGGUGCAAGCGUUAAUCGGAAUUACUGGGCGUAAAGCGCACGCAGGCGGUUUGUUAAGUCAGAUGUGAAAUCCCCGCGCUUAACGUGGGAACUGCAUUUGAAACUGGCAAGCUAGAGUCUUGUAGAGGGGGGUAGAAUUCCAGGUGUAGCGGUGAAAUGCGUAGAGAUCUGGAGGAAUACCGGUGGCGAAGGCGGCCCCCUGGACAAAGACUGACGCUCAGUCGAA